rnacentral:rRNA from 1 species
AUGAACGCUAGCUACAGGCUUAACACAUGCAAGUCGAGGGGAAACGACAUCGAAAGCUUGCUUUUGAUGGGCGUCGACCGGCGCACGGGUGAGUAACGCGUAUCCAACCUGCCCAUCACUUGGGAAUAACCUUGCGAAAGUAAGACUAAUACCCAAUGACAUCCCACGAAGACAUCUGAAUGGGAUUAAAGAUUUAUCGGUGAUGGAUGGGGAUGCGUCUGAUUAGCUUGUUGGCGGGGUAACGGCCCACCAAGGCAACGAUCAGUAGGGGUUCUGAGAGGAAGGUCCCCCACAUUGGAACUGAGACACGGUCCAAACUCCUACGGGAGGCAGCAGUGAGGAAUAUUGAUCAAUGGGCGAGAGCCUGAACCAGCCAAGUAGCGUGCAGGAUGACGGCCCUAUGGGUUGUAAACUGCUUUUAUAAGGGAAUAAAGUGGGUCUCGUGAGACUUUUUGCAUGUACCUUAUGAAUAAGGACCGGCUAAUUCCGUG